UGGGGAAUUUUGCACAAUGGGGGAAACCCUGAUGCAGCGACGCCGCGUGAUUUAGAAGGCCUUCGGGUUGUAAAAAUCUUUUCUAUGUGAAGAAAAUGACAGUACCAUAGGAAUAAGGACCGGCUAAUUACGUGCCAGCAGCCGCGGUAAUACGUAAGGUCCGAGCGUUGUCCGGAAUCAUUGGGCGUAAAGGGUACGUAGGCGGGUAAGCAAGUUAGAAGUGAAAUCCUAUAGCUCAACUAUAGUAAGCUUUUAAAACUGCUCAUCUUGAGGUAUGGAAGGGAAAGUGGAAUUCCUAGUGUAGCGGUGAAAUGCGCAGAUAUUAGGAGGAAUACCGGUGGCGAAGGCGACUUUCUGGCCAUAACCUGACGCUGAGGUACGAAAGCGUGGGUAGCAAACAGG
rnacentral:rRNA from 1 species